AGCAGCCGCGGUAAUUCCAGCUCCAAUAGCGUAUAUUAAAGUUGUUGCAGUUAAAAAGCUCGUAGUUGAAUUUCGGGAUUAGUACGUUGGUCGUGCCUUCGGUACGUACUGGUGUUACUGAUUCCUACCUUCUGACGAACCAUCAUGUCAUUAAUUUGGUGUGGUGGGGAAUCAGGACUGUUACUUUGAAAAAAUUAGAGUGUUUAAAGCAGGCUCGCGCUUGAAUACAUUAGCAUGGAAUAAUGAAAUAGGACGUUGACCCUAUUUUGUUGGUUUCUAGGAUUGACGUAAUGAUUAAUAGGGAUAGUUGGGGGCAUUAGUAUUCAAUUGUCAGAGGUGAAAUUCUUGGAUUUAUUGAAGACUAACUACUGCGAAAGCAUUUGCCAAGGAUGUUUUCAUUAAUCAAGAACGAAGGUAGGGGAUCGAAGACGAUCAGAUACCGUCGUAGUCUUAACCAUAAACUAUGCCGACUAGGGAUCGGAUGAUGUUAUUUUUAAUGACUCA
rnacentral:rRNA from 1 species